CCAGUUUCCACGGCCCUGGGAGUGAUUUGAGCUGCAUGGAUUUGCCUUGACUUGUGGGACUUCUCUCUGGGGGACCAACCUUCAGCUUAUCUCCAGGUGCUCCCCACUCCCCCUGCCCUCACAAGUUAGGAAUCUCUUGGAAUUCUGCACCGAAUGCCCUGAGAGACAGGUUUCGACAAUCAUGAAUAGAGCUGCCAUAAACAUCUCUAUGCUGCUUUAUGUGUGGAUAUAAGUUUUCAACUCAUUUGGACAUGUAACAAGGAAC